CCUACGGGAGGCAGCAGUGGGGAAUAUUGCACAAUGGGCGAAACCCUGAUGCAGCGAUGCCGCGUGAAUGAAGACGGCCUUCGGGUUGUAAAGUUCUGUCGCAGGGGACGAAAAUGACGGUACCCUGCAAGAAAGCUCCGGCUAACUACGUCCCAGCAGCCGCGGUACUACGUAGGGAGCAAGGUUUGUCCGGAAUUACGGGGUGUAAAGGAAGCGUAGGGGGGAGGAUAAGUUGAAUGUGAAAUCUAUGGGCUCAACCCAUAGCUGCGUCAAAAACUGUUCUUCUUGAGUGAAGUAGAGGCAGGCGGAAUUCCUGGUGUAGCGGUGAAAUGCGUAGAUAUUAGGAGGAACACCAGUGGCGAAGGCGGCCUGCUGGGCUUCUACUGACGCUGAGGCUCGAAAGCGUGGGUAGCAAACAGGAUUAGAUACCCGUGUAGUC
rnacentral:rRNA from 1 species